rnacentral:rRNA from 1 species
AGAGUUUGAUUCUGGCUCAGAACGAACGCUGGCGGCGUGGAUUAGGCAUGCAAGUCGAACGUAUCCCAGCUUGCUGGGAUAGUGGCAAACGGAUGAGUAACGCGUGGACAACCUGCCCUGAACUUGGGGAAAGCAUUGUGAAAACGGUGGUAAUCCCGAAUGUGGUAUUUUAGUUAAGGCUUUUAUAUUAAAGGUGGCCUCUUCUUGAAAGCUGCCGGUUUAGGAUGGGUCCGCGUCCUGUUAGCUUGUUGGUGAGGUAAUGGCUCACCAAGGCGACGAUGGGUACCCGGGCUGAGAGGCUGGUCGGGCAUAUUGGAACUGAGACACUGUCCAAACUCCUACGGGAGGCAGCAGUCGAGAAUCUUUCGCAAUGGGGGAAACCCUGACGACGCGACGCCGCGUGAGCGAUGAAGGUCUUCGGAUUGUAAAGCUCUGUCACUGGGGAAGAAAGAUACAGGUAUUAACACCACCAGUAUUUGACAUUACCCGGAGAGGAAGCCCCGGCUAACUCCGUGCCAGCAGCCGCGGUAAUACGGAGGGGGCAAGCGUUGUUCGGAUUCACUGGGCGUAAAGGGUGCGUAGGUGGACAGACAAGUGAAACGUGAAAUCCUGAGGCUUAACUUCAGAACUGCGUUUCAAACUGUUUGUCUAGAGUAUGGGAGAGGUAAGUGGAAUUCUCAGUGUAGCGGUGAAAUGCGUAGAUAUUGAGAAGAACACCAAAAGUGGAGACAACUUACUAGCCUGGUACUGACACUAAGGCACGAAGGCUAAGGGAGCGAACAGGAUUAAUACCCUGGUAGUCUUAGCAGUAAACGAUGUCAACUUGGUAUAGGGAAUUUCGACCUUCUCUGUGCCGGAGCUAACGCGUUAAGUUGACCGCCUGGGGAGUACGGCCGCAAGGCUAGAACUCAAAGAAAUUGACGGGGGCCCGCACAAGCGGUGGAGCAUGUGGUUCAAUUCGAAGCAACGCGAAGAACCUUACCUGGGCUUGACAUGUACCUGACAGGGUGUGAAAGCACCUUUCCCUUCGGGGCGGGUAUACAGGUGUUGCAUGGCUGUCGUCAGCUCGUGUCGUGAGAUGUUGGGUUAAGUCCCGCAACGAGCGCAACCCCUGCUUUUAGUUACCAGCGAGUAAUGUCGGGGACUCUGGAAGGACUGCCGGUGAUAAACCGGAGGAAGGUGGGGACGACGUCAAGUCAUUAUGGCCCUUACGUCCAGGGCUACACACGUGCUACAAUGGCCGGUACAAUGGGAAGCAAGACCGCGAGGUGGAGCAAAUCCUUGAAAACCGGUCCCAGUUCGGAUUGGAGUCUGCAACUCGACUCCAUGAAGUAGGAAUCGCUAGUAACGGUAGAUCAGCUACGCUACCGUGAAUACGUUCCCGGGCCUUGUACACACCGCCCGUCACAUCACGAAAGUUGAUCUUACCUGAAGUCGCUGUACCAACUCCCUCAAAGAAGAGGAAUGUGCCGAAGGUAGGAUUGAUAAUUGGGAUGAAGUCGUAACAAGGCA